CACGCAAUAUGCUUGAGUCAUACCGGACUAUCAAGAGUGGCAGUGGCAGGAUCGAGUGGAAGCACAUUGUUGAGCUCCACAAUGUGCAAAAAAAGGCAGGGCUGCAUGCCAACAAACUGACAGAUACUCAUGUCAGUUUCAACAACCAAAAAAUGAAGGUGUGUUUGUGUUUGUGUGUGUGUUGGGGGGGGGGGGGGGUUCAUAUACUGAGAUUGGUAACACUUUAGUUUGAUAGUCCACUGUUGACACUCAACAAGCCA
rnacentral:lncRNA from 1 species